CUCAAUAUUUUUCGAGCUUGCUCCAUGUAAGUAGUUUCUAAUGGCCACACCUGCUCUAUUUCAUGGUCAUAAUAAAACGCGUGGAACUGGUCCCCUACUGACAGACACCUAAAUUGCUGUCGCACAAAAUGCCACCAGGACAGAGUGUCUUAAGGUAAUUGAGUUGCCAUCCAGAGAGCUACCGUAUGGAGGAAAAUACAUCACAGAAGUCGCCCAGGCAGUCCAGAGCAGCUCGCUCGGACCUUCAGUCUCCUGCCUUCCGUCCACCUCUGGCUGAGGCCUCUGCCAUGACCAACCAUCCUGAAGAGUGGCCAGGACUUGUUUGCCUGUCUCUGGACGCCCCUCAUUGCUACCAUAAACCGUCCUGCACUGACCUUCUCAUUGCUAAAUCCAACAACUGCUCUUCAGUCUCUCCCAGGCCGGCUCCCUAAACUACGGUGAUGGUGAAUUCCAUGUGUUAACGGGGCUGGUCCCAAAUACAUGGUCAAACACUAUUCUAGAUGUUUCUGAAGGUGUUUUUAGGGUGGGAUUAACAUUUAAAUCAAUGAACUUUGAGUAAAGCAGAUUGCCCUCCCUGAUAUUAGUGGCCCUCACCCAAACGGUCCAAGAUCUUCUUGAAGAGAAAUGGACUGAGGUCCCAGGAAGACAGAAUUCAGGCAGCAGAUGGCCUUCGACCUCAGGCUGCAGUGCUGGCUCGCUGCUGGUCUGCAGGCUGCCCGCCACCCUGCUGCCUGGCAAAUCUUUGAUAUUCCAUAAAUGUUUGUCAUGCAAAUGAGUACAUUCCCAGGAACGCAGAGGGCGUAGCAUACAUUGCUAACUCCCCCAACAAGCAGUUGUCGGGGGCCCACCACAUACGGAGGCAGAGGUGUGAAGGUGUGAAGACAGGCAUUCUGCUGGGGCUCGGGAGGGGAGUCAGCGGCAGCAGGAUGUGCUCUUGCCCAGAGCAGGGAAACAAAGAGGCCAGCAGAGCCCUCCCCAAGAGGACCAGACCGUGCUGUAGGCCAAAGAGUGUGGUAGACUGAGAAGAAGCUCUGAACCCAGAUGGAUCUAAACAGGAACCCUGGCCUCCUGCCCAUAGACUUCUCACUCUGAGCAUGUGGCUUCAUCUUCUGAGUUACAGCAAAGGGGGUAACCCCACCCUAUAGGAAUGGCAAGGAUCACGCAGAGGCACCAGUGCACGGCAUAUGGUGGGGCCUGCUGAAGGUUAACUCAGCACCCCUGCCAUGGCCUCUCCAGCUUUAACACAGAGAAGCUAAACUCAUGAAAGAACAACGAUCGUCACCUUUAAAUGUGUACAAAAUAAAUGUCCUGUGGCUUGAAGGAAAUGAUUGGCCUGUCCAGGGACUGACCUGCAAAUGUCCAAGCUACUUAGGGACCCGCCUGCCUCAGCCUACUCGAGAGGCUAGGACAAAACACCAAAGUGGUGGGCAGACACCACAGGCUGAGGGGCUUGCGAACAACAGAAACACAUUUCCCAUAGAUCCGAGGCAGGAAGGCCAAGAUCAAGGUGCUGGUGGAUUGGGUGUCUGGUGAGAACCUGCCUCCUGGGUUCAUGGAUGGUACCUUCUUGCUCUGUCUGCACAUGGAAGAGGGUGAGGGGCGCUCUGGGGUCUGUUUUAUAAGGCACUAAUUCCAUCAUGAGAGCGCCACCUUCAUGAUAUGAUCCCCUCCCAAGGGCCCCACCUCCCAACACCAUCACCUUGGCGGUUAGGAUGUCAGCAUAUGCAUAUGAAUUUUGGGGGAGACAUAAACAGUCUAUAGCACCAUCAAAUGUAUGGAGUUGUUGAAGAGAAGGUUUAGAGCCAGCCUGUAUUAACAGGGAAAUGUUUAAGUUGUAGCAUUAAGUGUAAAAACAAAUCAGUACACAUAAUUACAUACAGAGUGAAAUCCUGAGAUGCCCAGCAUUACUGUGGGAAACACAGCCAGCUCUAAGCCACACAACAAACUAUGAAUGUAAACAUUGUCAGGAAAUCAGUCUACAUGCAGCAUUUUCUCUUCUUUCAGCCAUUCUAAACCUUCCAUAUUUCAUGACCAUGAAUUAUUUUUAUAAUGGAAAAAUAAAUAGUAAAAUAUUUUUAAAAAUAAGUUGCAGGGGCGCCUGGGUGGCACA